GCCUGCGGAAAUUAAGCGAUGUAACUGAUUUGCAGUCUGGGAUUGUGCUGUGGCGGCAGCGGCGGCGUGAUGUGGCGUCCUUUUUGUCCUUGUGCCAGAUGUCAGGAUGUGGUGAACGACUCAUUAGGAUGCCAACACGCCUCUGCACCGGCGCCAACACUUUUCAAAGCCUGGCGACCCCGUUACCGGGCUCCCGAGAACCAUCUCGCUGAGGCCCGUCUGGUCUGGAAUCGGUCCGACACUGAAGCGUUUGGAGAGCCGGAGCGAUGUGGGAUUAAAAGACAGCAGGUUUGGCCUCUGACCUCCAGCUUCCCUCCAUGUUUCCUCCUUUCAGCUCCUCUCUCGCCUCACGCUCUCCACAGGAAAUGUUUGUUGUCUUUACAUCGUCAGAAGCCCUCGUGGGGAAGCGAUGCUGACACAGACACUUUUAACUCUGGAGUUCAACGGACACCCGGCGACAGAGAGAAAGAAAGAUACCAGCAGAGCGCUGCGGGGUUUGUUCGAAGCCCGUUUAUAUGGAUGAUUAGGAGUCUAAACUACAAUAAAAAUAAAUAGCUGAUGCCUUAAACAUCACUGAACAUAUCUCAAUCCAUCCUCAGCAAAAAUGUGAACGUUACGACUCCAUAAACGAAUGCGGCGGAGCUAUGUGACGAUCAGUGUUGGUUUGUUUGUCUGUUUGUCUCUCUGUGUGCAACAUUACUCCAAAACAGACGAACGGAUUUGGAUGAAACUUUCAGGGAAGGUCAGAAAUGACACAAGGACCAAAUGAUCAGAUUUUGGCAUUGAUGCGGCUUAUAGUCUGGAUCCAUGGAUUUGUUAAAGAUUUCGGAAUCAUUGCGAGAUAGCGGCAUGGCGUCACUGUAACCAUGACAACAAGUGAACACUACAUCAGCUGCCUGUUGAUCACAUGAUUGUGAUCCUACUACAAAUCCACCACCGUGGACUUAUCAGGACUUAUUCGUCAGGAAUGAUAAAAGGAACAAUUGUUUCUGAGUCCCAUCAUUUCCUGCCCCCCGCUACAUAUUUAGGUCACGUGAUUUGAUAUCUGUGCACAACGUACACAUGCAUAACACACGCCUGUGCUCAGCAAAAGGUCAUUUUGUUGGUACAUCCAUAUUAAGUGACCACCAUCUACGUUAUCGUGAUUUUUGCCACGAAUUUUUUCAAGAUUUCAUCCUUCAAAAAUGAUACGACUGAGCAGCCUUGGAGGAGUGCUUUUCUUCUUACUAGUAGUAGUAGCUUUUAUAAAAUUCCUCACUGACUUUCACUCAUAAAUUGCUGUUGUUAUGUUUUGGAGGAACAUCUAAAUCCAGUGCAACCAGUAAUUCCAAUUGUUACUUCAUUGAUUUUUAUAUUUCUUUCAUCUAAAUAUAGGAAAAUAUUAUUAGACACUAAAGCUCUCACAUACAGAUUUUCUUCCACUGUUUAAACUCUUUUAUUCUUAACAUUUAGUGUAAAAAUCAGACAAAUAUACGUAUAAACAGCCGUGACGUUAACGUUCCUCCACACUGCUGGAACAGAGUCGGUGUGUGUGAUGGAGGCUGCGUUUAGUCUGAAUUCGUGCGUCGCCGUUUCACACAUUUUUGUUAUUCUCCUCGGCGAGCGGCACUCGGCCAGCAUCUGAAAAACGGACAAUGUGAGGCAGGAGAGGAAAUCCCACCCAGUGUUUGUCCACUCACCGUGUCUUUGUCGUCUUCCUGCCUCGGCACAAACACAACAAGGUGCCCUCUGCGCUUUAUUGCAGCGUUUUAAUGCUCUCUGGAGGAGUGCGGAAUUUUAAGAGCGGCAUUUUUUUUUUAACAAAUAGAAAAAAGGCGAUUCUUUUUCUGCUCUGACAGUAACGACAUGAACUCCUGCUAAACUAUUAAUAGGAGGAGCCUGUAGGAUGAAAUGAAACUCUCUGGAGCAGGAAAGGAUCAUUUUCUCCAAAAGAGACGGAGACUUAUUUCAGAAUUUAUUCUUCAGUUAUCAGACAAAAUGAGCAGCAAAUGCUCUGGAUUUAUUCAUCUAUAGCAGGGGUCAUUUCAGCCCAAUUUGAUCUCUAGUGAGCAGUAAAAUCACGUCAUAAUAGCCUAUAAACAAGCACAACGCCAAAGGUUUCCCUUUGUUUUAGUGCACAGAAGCACAAUUCUGAAAAUAUUUACAUUUACAACACUUUAUUAUUACAUGUAACUUAGAUAUUUUGGGUUUUUUUGCUUAAUUUUUGCUGAUUUUAAAGUGAAUACUGCAGAAAUGUGAUUGAUUUUUUAAAUAUUUCUUUCAGGUAAAUAUAUGAAAAAGGUAUACGCAUCAUUUUGAAUGUGUACCAUCAAGAAAUUUAAAAGUAAGUCACAUUUCUGCAGCAUACACUUAAAAAAAAACAACCAAAAUGUUGCGUAUAUUUGACAUUUUUGCUUCAAAAAUGCAGAAAUGUGAUUGUCUUUUAUAUUUCUUGAAGUAUAUGUCUUGCUUUGGUGUGACAAUAAAUUAAAUCUUGCUGAUAAAACAACA